GACUCUCGGAAACGGAUAUCUUGGCUCUUACAUCAAUGAAGAACAUAGCGAAAUGCAAUACUUGGUGUGAAUUAAAGAAUCCCGUGAACCAUCCAGUCUUUGAACGCAAGUUGCACCCUAGGCCAUCAGGCUAAGGGCUCGCCUGCCUGGGCGUCA